rnacentral:lncRNA from 1 species
UUUAGCCGACUAAAUUUUUUAAAAGUUUAGCCGACGAAAUUAUAUUUUUCGUCGGCUAAAGUAUUUAAAUAUCUGCAGAUCUGGACAACAACUCAUCUGGGAAAAAAAAAACUACACGUAGAACCUUUAAACGCAAAAAAGUCGUGAAAUAAGAUAUGACCAGAAUGGUGAAAUACGUCUAUGGUUGAAAAAUCACGGUAUUCUGGUAAAGUCUCGGUGCCGAUAGUUGCGGUCAAUGCAAUUUACCCUUAUUAUUCACUAUGCUGCAGAUUUAGUUUUUAGUGUCCGGUUGACUAUUGUGAUACCUUUCCGGAAGCGUAACGGCCUUACGAGUCAAACUCAUGGCUAAUGCCAUGAAGUAUGGGCAUUUUUGGCCAUCCGAGUCCGUUUAGGGCUUCGAAAUACAGUUUUCUUAUUUCCGAUUAGAGUUGACCGUUUCGAUCGAGCCCUUAACGUUGUCGAAUCUAGUUGAAUUUUUUACCAUAGACAUAUUUCGUCAUAAUUAUCAUAUCUGACGGUCGAAUUUUGGUUUGUAAAUUUAGUCAUCGGAAUCACAACGUGUCUACUAUUUACCGUUAUUAUUCCCUAUGGGGAGCCCUAUCGUCGGAAGGUAAAUGUCUCAAAAUUUUUAUAUGGGCAGUUGCGUCUCAUCUACAUGAGAGUUUUUUGUGUGGAAGGUUUGACCAAACUACGUAAUAUAGAGGGAGAUAUGAGCGUUUUCGUGUGAUAAGUGACGAUGGAUUAGGGUUGACCGUUUCGAUCGAGCCCUUAACGUUGUCGGAUCCAGUUGAAUUUUUUACCAUAGAUAUCUUUCGUCAUAAUGAUCAUAUCUGACGGUCGAAUUUUGGUUUGUGAAUUUUAGUCAUCGGAAUCACAACGUGUCUACUAAUGUUGUAUAACUUCUUUAGUAGGUUAUACAACUUUGCGAACCAACUCUACAUAGGAAGCAAAAUUAUCAAAAAUCUCGUGAAAUACGGCUAUGGUUCAAAAAUCACGUAAAUCGGGUAAAGUCUCGGUGCCAAUAGUAGCGGUCAACCCUAUUUACCGUUAUUAUUCCCUAUGGGGAGCCUUAUCGUCGGAAGGUAAAUGUCUCAAAAUUUUUAUAUAGGCAGUUGCGUCUCAUCUACGUGAAAGUUUUUCGUGUGGAAGGUUUGACUAAACUACGUAAUAUAGAGGGAGAUAUGAGCGUUUUCGUGAAUUUAUAGACUUUAGCCGACGAGAUAUUAAAAAAGUCGUCGGCUAAAGUCAAAAAUUUUGGGCUGUAAUUUUCAAAGGUCUUUAGCCGACGAAAAUAUAUGAUUUCGUCGGCUAAAGUCGAAAAAUUUUCAAAAUUUUCAACCAAAAUUUUUUGGCGGUCAACCAAAAUUUUCAAAAGAGUUUAGCCAACGAAAGUAAAUAAUUUCGUCGGCUAAAGGUCUUUAUAUAGGAGUUUUACCGAAGGUGGAUNNNN